ACGCUCGACACCUACGGAGGCAGCAGUGGGGAAUAUUGCACAAUGGGGGAAACCCUGAUGCAGCGACGCCGCGUGAGCGAAGAAGUAUUUCGGUAUGUAAAGCUCUAUCAGCAGGGAANAAAGUGACGGUACCUGACUAAGAAGCACCGGCUAAAUACGUGCCAGCAGCCGCGGUAAUCUGAGCGGGCUGGCAAGGC
rnacentral:rRNA from 1 species